CUGUCUCUAGCCUGGAAAGAGGUGCCACUGCUCACUGUUUCUUCAUGGCGUUGAUGGAUGCAUGUUCCUUGGAUUGGUAUUAGUUCUCACCCAGUAUUUUUUCUCUGGUGUGGAACAAAUUAGUGUCCAUACGCCAUUAUUUGAAACCAGUCUUGGCCUAGUUAUAGUUUGUUAUUUUUAAUUGCAAUUAUUAUGCAUUUAGAAACCCUUUGCAGCUUUCUGGGACAAAUUAAUCACUUAGUUGUUAGUCUUUGAGUUUGGUCUUUAGAUAUAUGGUGUUAUUGCUUUUGUUGGGUUAUUGUUUCGAAACAAAUUGUAAAAACAGAAAAAGGGAAAUGAUGAAAUUCAAGGAGACGAGAAAUGUUUCUCUCCCUUCAAAUGUUUGUAACUCUGUACAUAAAAUUUUUAAUUUCUGAUAUGAGAUUUUAGUUUUUUUUUU
rnacentral:misc_RNA from 1 species